rnacentral:rRNA from 1 species
UAUUGGGGUUGCGGACAUAUCAUAACGGAGAGGUAUCGUAAUUGAAGAGGUUUGGAAAGACCCACCACAGAAGGUAAUAGUCCUGUAUGUUAAAUGAGAAGACUUUAGAUAUGAUCCAGAGUACCACUGGACACGUGAAACCCUGUGGGAAGCAGGAGGGACCACCCUCCAAGGCUAAAUACUACCUAGUGACCGAUAGCGUAUAGUACCGUGAGGGAAAGG